GAUGAACGCUGGCGGCGUGCCUAAUACAUGCAAGUCGAGCGAAUGGAUUAAGAGCUUGCUCUUAUGAAGUUAGCGGCGGACGGGUGAGUAACACGUGGGUAACCUGCCCAUAAGACUGGGAUAACUCCGGGAAACCGGGGCUAAUACCGGAUAAUAUUUUGAACUGCAUGGUUCAAAAUUGAAAGGCGGCUUCGGCUGUCACUUAUGGAUGGACCCGCGUCGCAUUAGCUAGUUGGUGAGGUAACGGCUCACCAAGGCAACGAUGCGUAGCCGACCUGGGAGGGUGAUCGGCCACACUGGGGCUGAGACCCGGCCCAGACUCCUACGGGAGGCAGCAGUAGGGAAUCUUCCGCAAUGGACGAAAGUCUGACGGAGCAACGCCGCGUGAGUGAUGAAGGCUUUCGGGUCGUAAAACUCUGUUGUUAGGGAAGAACAAGUGCUAGUUGAAUAAGCUGGCACCUUGACGGUACCUAACCAGAAAGCCACGGCUAACUACGUGCCAGCAGCCGCAGUAA
rnacentral:rRNA from 1 species